rnacentral:rRNA from 1 species
GAUGAACGCUGGCGGCGUGCCUAAUACAUGCCAGUCGAGCGAACGGACGAGAAGCUUGCUUCUCUGAUGUUAGCGGCGGACGGGUGAGUAACACGUGGAUAACCUACCUAUAAGACUGGGAUAACUUCGGGAAACCGUAGCUAAUACCGGAUAAUAUUUUGAACCGCAUGGUUCAAAAGUGAAAGACGGUCUUGCUGUCACUUAUAGAUGGAUCCGCGCUGCAUUGGCUAGUUGGUAAGGUAACGGCUUACCAAGGCAACGAUGCAUAGCCGACCUGAGAGGGUGAUCGGCCACACUGGAACUGAGACACGGUCCAGACUCCUACGGGAGGCAGCAGUAGGGAAUCUUCCGCAAUGGGCGAAAGCCUGACGGAGCAACGCCGCGUGAGUGAUGAAGGUCUUCGGAUCGUAAAACUCUGUUAUUAGGGAAGAACAUAUGUGUAAGUAACUGUGCACAUCUUGACGGUACCUAAUCAGAAAGCCACGGCUAACUACGUG